AGCUUUGUGCAGUGGCAGUAUCGUAGCCAAUGAGGUUUAUCCGAGGAGAGGCGCAAUUAUUGCUAAUUGAAAGAAACCUGGCCAAAUCACCACUUUGGCUAAUACCUCCCAACUAAAAGCAGAUGGGAGCCUACUGCCUAUAGU